AACGCACAUUGCGCCCGCCAGCACUCUGGCGGGCAUGCCUGUCCGAGCGUCAUUUCAACCCUCAGGCCCCCCGGGGACUGGUGUUGGGGAUCGGCCCGCCCUGGCGCGGCGCCGGCCCCGAAAUACAGUGGCGGUCUCGCUGCAGCCUCCCCUGCGUAGUAGCACACCUCGCAUCGGAGAGCGGCGCGGCCACGCCGUGAAACCCCAACUUCUGAUAGUUGACCUCGGAUCAGGUAGGAAUACCCGCUGAACUUAA
rnacentral:misc_RNA from 1 species